rnacentral:rRNA from 1 species
ACCAGCUCAAAUUUGAAAGCUGGCCUUCGGGUCCGCAUUGUAAUUUGUAGAGGAUGCUUUGGGGCAGCCGCCUGUCUAAGUUCCUUGGAACAGGACGUCAUAGAGGGUGAGAAUCCCGUAUGUGACAGGACAUGGCACCCUAUGUAAAGCUCCUUCGACGAGUCGAGUUGUUUGGGAAUGCAGCUCUAAAUGGGAGGUAAAUUUCUUCUAAAGCUAAAUACCGGCGAGAGACCGAUAGCGCACAAGUAGAGUGAUCGAAAGAUGAAAAGCACUUUGGAAAGAGAGUUAAAAAGCACGUGAAAUUGUUGAAAGGGAAGCGCUUGCAAUCAGACUUGUUUUGACUGUUCGGCCGGUCUUCUGACCGGUUUACUCAGUCUGGACAGGCCAGCAUCAGUUUUGGCGGCCGGAUAAAGGCCCAGGGAAUGUGGCUCUCACUUCGGUGGGAGUGUUAUAGCCCUGGGUGUAAUACGGCCAGCCGGGACUGAGGUCCGCGCUUCGGCUAGGAUGCUGGCGUAAUGGUUGUAAGCGACCCGUCUUGAAACACGGA